rnacentral:rRNA from 1 species
AUGGCGCGGCAAAAGUACAUACAUGAGGGGAUCACUCAGAGUACACAUGCCACUUCUCUGUUUGUUAGCAGGUUCCUGAAAGAGCUUGAGCUGAUUAACUCAACACCUCAACGCGUUUUGCAAGCUACCUCCCAUGAAAACCGAGCUGCACAUGCAAGACCAAGGGCGCCACCCGAGGGAUUUGUCAAGAUUCAUGUCGAUGGGGCAGUACAGCGCAACAGGCGAGGAUCUGCGGCGGCAGUAUGCCGGGACCACGCGGGCAACUAUCUAGGAAGUUCAGCUCUUGUCAUUCCAGGAAUAACGGACCCACCAACGCUGGAGGCGAUAGCAUGUCGAGAAGGUCUUGCUUUGGCCGAGGAUCUUUUGUUGAACAACCUGAUCAUCGCAUCGGAUUGCAAGCGGGUUGUAGAUGACAUCAUACAAGGCAACCAGGGAGUAUAUGGUUCGGUGAUCACAGAAAUAAACCUCAGGUCUUCGGUUUUUGCUUGUAAUUUUGUUUUUGAAAGCCGUUCUUCAAACGGUGAAGCUCAUAGUUUAGCUAAACAUGCUCUUUCUCUCGGUGUGGGGCGCCACACUUGGUUGGUAAACCCCUAUGAUCCGAUUUGUAUUCCGCCACGUGUGGACUAUCAGCAAUAA